rnacentral:rRNA from 1 species
UGGGGAAUAUUGCACAAUGGGCGCAAGCCUGAUGCAGCCAUGCCGCGUGUAUGAAGAAGGCCUUCGGGUUGUAAAGUACUUUCAGCGAGGAGGAAGGCGGUAAGGUUAAUAACCUUAUCGAUUGACGUUACUCGCAGAAGAAGCACCGGCUAACUCCGUGCCAGCAGCCGCGGUAAUACGGAGGGUGCAAGCGUUAAUCGGAAUUACUGGGCGUAAAGCGCACGCAGGCGGUCUGUCAAGUCGGAUGUGAAAUCCCCGGGCUCAACCUGGGAACUGCAUUCGAAACUGGCAGGCUAGAGUCUUGUAGAGGGGAGUAGAAUUCCAGGUGUAGCGGUGAAAUGCGUAGAGAUCUGGAGGAAUACCGGUGGCGAAGGCGGCCCCCUGGACAAAGACUGACGCUCAGGUGCGAAAGCGUGGGGAGCAAACA